rnacentral:rRNA from 1 species
UACGGGGGGGGCAAGCGUUGUUCGGAAUUACUGGGCGUAAAGGGUCUGUAGGUGGCUUGCUAAGUCAGACGUGAAAUCCCCAGGCUUAACCUGGGAACUGCGUCCGAUACUGGCUGGCUUGAAUCCGGGAGAGGGAUGCGGAAUUCCAGGUGUAGCGGUGAAAUGCGUAGAUAUCUGGAGGAACACCGGUGGCGAAGGCGGCAUCCUGGACCGGCAUUGACGCUGAGGCGCGAAAGCCAGGGGAGCAAACGGG